GGGGUGUUUGGGUGUUAUGGCCGUAUGAGGGCAUCCAUGAAUCCAUGAUUAUUUUUCGACUUGAAAUGUGCAUGUCCAGGGUGUUCCUUCCUGCACUGCUAAAAGGGAGAAGCCCACCUAUUUAGCUUUCUACUUAGAACAAGUUUAUCCUUACUUGCUAGUUUUGUUUUGCAAUGAUGAGAGGCUGAAUUCAGGAUUUUUAUAUUUUUGCAUUAAAUUGUUUUAGUUGUCCAUCUAGAGUCUUCUUUGAAAUUUGUUCUAUUGUUGCACUGCUCCAAUGUGAAAAUUAGUCAUUUACCAGAUUGACUUAAAAAGAAAAGGUUAUUACUACAUGUAUUGUGUGUAUCACAAAAAAGGAUAUUAAAAAAGGGUAUAGUUAAAAAAUUUAUCUACCACCAAAAAAUUAAGAAAUAGAUGUUGAUAAGAAUAAGUAAUUACAAUAAAUUAAGAUGGUAUGCCUUAAUUUGUUUUAGUUAAGAAAAACAAUAGUGUAAAGAUGAUUAUUAAAGAGGUAUAUGUUGUAUGGUUAUGAAUAUCACAUUUGUUUAGUAGAUUAGUGGUUCAUUUUUUGUAACUUUUGAUGUUUCCUUGAUGUUUUUAGUUGACUAGAGCAAGUCACCUUGUACUGACCUGAAAUUUUGGGGAAAUUCAUAUUGGCUUAUUUUGAGUUUAGUCUCAGUUUAGGUGGGUUCAGGAUGGGUGCAAAUUUGUCACAUUUACUAGGAAGUUUUUUUAUUGAGCACAAAGCCAACAGGUUUUAAGGAAGUAACCAUCCCUAGACUGUGAAAGGUGCAACUGAGAAUCAUGUUGGCAGCCUUCUUGAAUUGUGAUGUGAAUAUCAAUACCACUUAGCAUUACACAUAAUUUUUUGGAAUGUGCAGGUGACAUCUAUGUUAUCACUUGCAGCUGCAUGCUCAUCAGCAGGCGUUAUCGUUCUAUAUGCGAGAGACUUGAAUGUGUGUAAGUCUCAAACAAAUCUCCCAUGUAACAGGUUCGAGAUUUCCAUACUUUUUGGUUUCCUCUCAUGGCUUCUUAUUAGCAUAUCCUCUCAUGUGAUGUUCUGGAUCCUAGCCUCUUUCUAGAUAACUCAUGUGUCCUUGCUCUAGAUUUAGUGAAUACACAAAUGAUAUUAUUAUCUUUUUUUUCACAUGUAAAUUUUGGUUCCCCACUCCUGCUGUUGGAAUUUUCCUUUCCAUUGCUAUUUUUAUCUAGUUUUUUUGCUCAUGCACAAAGGUGGUUGUGGUUAAGGACAUAUAAGCCUUCAAUGUCGACGUCCUUGUUUCACAACCUUGAUCAUUUAGUAUUUGCUGAUUUAUGGUUAUUUUUUCCAUAGACAUAGUAUAUUAUGGGCUUCUGAGCAAAGUUAUGAUUGGUUAUAUUUGGAAUUACUUAUAAAUUUCGAAAAAUCACCUGGACUUAAUUGAUAAAUUGUUAAAAUUAGAUGGCCUGGAUCAAGAGGUAAGAUAUGGAGAGAGAUUUCAUUGUAGCAUCCUAGGUUGGCAUUUAGAUUAUACAAGGGAUGGCAACAGCUACUGCCACUGCGAAAGCUGCUCUACUUGAAUUUGAACUCAUAUUCGAAUUCAUUUAAUAAUUAAAUACCAGAAGUUAUUUCAAAUCCAUUGUCAUUCAUUUUAAAAUAUUUUUGCUUAGUUCCAAAUCUAUUUUUUAGAAAAUAUAAUAUUUCAAAAUUUAUAAAUACAAUUGCAAAUUUAUUUUUUAAUAUUUUACUAAUUGUUUAUAUAAAUAAAUUCAAGUAAUAGGUGUAUAUUCUCUUAAUUUCUAGUUCGAGAUCGACUUGAUCUUAAAAUUUGUAAGUCAAAAUUAGAUUCAGUCGAUCUUUUAUAUUUGGUUGCUCGAAGGAGCAAACCCCAUCAUAAAAAAUAGAAAGUAUCAACGUGACUUAUUAUAAACCCCACUGUUAACGAGACAAUGGCUUUAGCAUCGGUUCUAAGCCCUUGCCGAUUCAUAGAAGAUAGGGAUGUUUAAGCUGUUGUUAAGCCGAAAUACCUGAGGAGGACAAUUGAACACGCAAUGGGCAUCAUAAUGAUGGAAUUAAUGGACAAAGCGAUAAGGCAUUCUACUCAUAUUACCUAAUGCAGCAUGCUUACUGUAUGACAUCAGCAGAUGUCAUGUCACAUUUUGCUGGAAUCUUUCAGCUAAGUAAAAUCCUACUUUGAAAAUAUUGUAGCUAGAGAGGCAGAUGACUUGACCCUUUUUUGGAUGAUGUUUUCUCAUGGUUUCAUAGUGUAUGGCAUAGUAAUGUUAAUUGUUUUCUCAUGGUUUCAUAGUGUAUGGCAUAGUAAUGUUAAU
rnacentral:misc_RNA from 1 species